UGUAAUGGACAGUAGCACCCAUUCCGCUCGCAUUUUUUCCGUUUACUUUUAAUUAUAAUUUCUUUCCAGCUUAAAUCAAUCUUUUGAGUAUAUAUGGAAUCAAGGCGAAGAUUACAAUGUAUUUCUUGUCAAGACUGGUAUUUAACUGUUUUGUCUUGAUGAAGUAGCCAGCACUUCAGAAACUAGUAACCUGUGAAAACCCUUACAUGGACUGUCCCAAUAAGGUGCUGUUGCUGUUUACUUGUCAUUUCACUUCAUAUAUUAAAAAAAAAGAACAAAUAAACUGAAUUUUGAUACCCACAGUUAAAAGUAUACUGUUAUUUGUGUUUCAUGAGUAACCAGGUUCAGUUCAAUGAUCUUUCAAUAAGUUACUUGUGCAGUUGAUAUUUGUAACUGUUAUUCACUCUCCAAGCAGCAAGAGUCGUAUGGAAGCAAUGGGAUGUAACUACUUCCAGUGAAAAGAAUAUCAUGGAGUGGGUUUUCUUUCUUGGUGAGCCUUAUAAUAUGUGUCGUUGGAAAAGAGAAAUGAAAAAAGAGAUCCUCAGAUCCUGAAGCAGAAUAAAUAUUUGGAUCCCUCUUUAUAAAGAACUAAUGGGUGGUUCGAAAGCUAACAUUCAUAAUGUCAGAAAUUGUUGGUUGGAAAACAUCCAAAAAGUAACUAAAAAGUUUAAGUGCGAAUAAUUAAAUUUAAAUUCUAUUCAACAAGAGAUGAAAAGUUCAUAGCAGUAUCCAAAUAAAUCUUCCAAGACUCUUCA